rnacentral:rRNA from 1 species
GUCUACGGCCAUGCCACCCUGAACACGCCCAAUCCUGUCUGAUCUCAGAAGCUAAGCAGGGUCAGGCCUUGUUAGCACAUGGAUGGGAGACCACCAAGGAAGGCUAGGUGCUGUAGGCG